rnacentral:rRNA from 1 species
AGUUAGCCGUGGCUUAUUCCUCAGGUACCGUCAUUAUCGUCCCUGAGAAAGAGGUUUACAACCGAAGGCCUUCAUCCCUCACGCGGCGUUGCUGCUUCAGGGUUUCCCCCAUUGAGCAAAAUUCCCG